CCUACGGGAGGCAGCAGUGAGGAAUAUUGGUCAAUGGACGAGAGUCUGAACCAGCCAAGUAGCGUGAAGGAUGACUGCCCUAUGGGUUGUAAACUUCUUUUAUAUUGGAAUAAAACGUUCCACGUGUGGGAUUUUGUAUGUACCAUAUGAAUAAGGAUCGGCUAACUCCGUGCCAGCAGCCGCGGUAAUACGGAGGAUCCGAGCGUUAUCCGGAUUUAUUGGGUUUAAAGGGAGCGUAGGUGGAUUGUUAAGUCAGUUGUGAAAGUUUGCGGCUCAACCGUAAAAUUGCAGUUGAAACUGGCAGUCUUGAGUACAGUAGAGGUGGGCGGAAUUCGUGGUGUAGCGGUGAAAUGCUUAGAUAUCACGAAGAACUCCGAUUGCGAAGGCAGUUCACUGGACUGCAACUGACACUGAGGCUCGAAAGUGUGGGUAUCAAACAGGAUUAGAUACCCGAGUGUC
rnacentral:rRNA from 1 species